rnacentral:rRNA from 1 species
UACGUAGGGUGCGAGCGUUGUCCGGAAUUAUUGGGCGUAAAGGGCGCGUAGGCGGCCUGUUAAGUCGAACGUGAAAUCCCCGGGCUCAACCCGGGAACUGCGUCCGAUACUGGCAGGCUUGAAUCUGGGAGAGGGAUGUGGAAUUCCAGGUGUAGCGGUGAAAUGCGUAGAUAUCUGGAGGAACACCGGUGGCGAAGGCGACAUCCUGGACCGGUAUUGACGCUGAGGCGCGAAAGCCAGGGGAGCAAACGGG